AGCUCCAAUAGCGUAUAUUAAAGUUGUUGCGGUUAAAAAAGCUCGUAGUUGGAUUUCUGCUGAGGACGACCGGUCCGCCUCUGGGUGAGCAUCUGGCUCGGCCUUGGCAUCUUCUUGGAGAACGUAUCUGCACUUCAUUGUGUGGUGCGGUAACCAGGACUUUUUACUUUGAGGAAUUAGAGUGUUUCAAGCAGGCGUGC
rnacentral:rRNA from 1 species